AAAAAUGUAACUAAUAUUUUAUUAAUAGAUUGCAAGAAAUUGACUGAACAAAUAAAAACAGAAUGCAGACUCAAUCGUGUGACUCAAACAGCCCCACGGACACCUUCAUAUGUGUGAAUAACGAUCGAACUUCUAACAUUAUGAGUACCAUCUGACCAUAUCAAUGUUGCAGAUACCAUUGAUGUCUCACCCAAAGCUUUGCCAGAAACAAUAACAUUGUAAGACUUCUGUUCUGUUAGAGCCUUGAAAGACAAGACUUGAGGAACCACUUGGAUUUCGGGUUCUGACAGGAUAGAGAUUGUUGCAUUGUAAGUAGAUCUUGCUAUACCAACAUUUGUUACUGUUCUAUGGAAAUUAACAGUGAAUGGCUUGCCUGCUGGUACUAAAGCAGUGAGUGUAGGAUAAUUGAAAUCUCUUGGCAGCAUUUUAGUACUGUUUUUAGGACAAGAGGUGUUGUUUCCUGCUAUAUUUUUUAUGGAACCUUCAUCAUAUCCGAUGCUGCAUAAGAAUCUUAUGUUGUCACCUUUUACGUUAUCGUAUACAAGUCCAGGAUCAAUGGCUUUUACAGGGUUGAUAUGUCCUGAUCCAUAAGCAAAUUCAGCUCCUUGAUUCCUCGGUGCAUCCAUCGGAAAAGCUAGGCAAAAGAAAACAAAUGUAAGAUCGAAAAUGUGACAUAUGUUACAAUAAUGGCAAUGAAUGAUUACCGGUAGUCAUAAGAGCAGAUUUAAUGGCUGAGGGAGACCAAUGAGGGUGAAAAGUCUUAACGUAUGCGGCUACACCAGCAACAUGAGGACAAGACAUUGAGGUUCCUGAUAUUAUGUUGUAUUUAACUCGCCUUGUAUCUGUUGUGGUUAUCGAUGGUGAAGCUACCGGUGAAUAUGCAGCCAAUAUAUCCACUCCUGGUGCACUUAUAUCGGGCUGCAAUGCAUUUCCAGAACUAUUUAGUUUACCGUAAAAAAGCAAAAUAACAAUAAAAUCCGAGUUCUGGGAGAAAUGCAUGCCUUUAGAAUGUCUGGUACAAUGAAAUUAGGACCCUUUGAAGAGAAUGAAGCAACUAUAGGAGCAGAUUUAUCUGUAAUUGUCUCACUUAUUAAUAUUUCUGCUUUAGGUUGUCUGUGACACAAUGAGCAAAGCAUUAGUUUUAUUUUACCUAUCAUAUGACAAAAUAAUGACCCAAACCAUCGAUAUGUACAUACUUGGUGGAAUUCAGGUAGGAUGUGACCGAAUCAUAGUCCUUGGAGCUUAAAGUUAUAGCAGGCAUUGGGACAACAUAUGCAACAUCGUCGAAUCCAUAUUUCGUAAUUAAUCCCAAUGCACCAGCAUUGUAAGCUUCGUCUACACCCUGCAUGUCAUCGCAUAGAAUGAUCUUGUUCUUUACCAAAGUUUUAUUCAGGCAAUUAGGGAAACACAACCUGAAAAGGACCAACAAUGAAUCACACAUGCGGCUUAUAUCUGAAUCAAUCAAAAUGCAGCUUGUCAAUGGAACUAACCGAGCACUGAACUCAUCGCAAUCGGAUGAUGCUUGCAUCCCAUAAACCAAUGGAACCAUUGCUCUAUUAAGACUAAAAGUGUUUAUUGAAAGCCCCUGUUUGCAAAGAGGAACCUAUUACUAUCAAGUAAAUAAACUACGAGAGUCAGAGCAAUUCAAGAGCGAUAUAGUUCUUACAGUUAGUGUCUUCCCAUUCCCAAGAACAACCUUGUUGACAAAAUGGCGGUCCAUUGUGCUUGCGGCAACGCUAAGUAUCCAUGGUGCUACACUUGCCACCGAUUGAAACCCUGCUAGACCACUAUUUCCUGCAGAUUGUACAACAAGUACACCUUUCUCGGCAGCAUGGAAAGCACCAAUAGCUACAGCGUCACUGUAGAAUUCAAACACAAAGAAUGAUCCUAAUGAAGCUGUUAUAAGAUCAACUCCAUCAGCAAUGGCAUCGUCAAAAGCUGCCAAGAUGUCUUCUGAAGUACAUAUACCAUUGCAUACUUUAUAUGCGGCAAUCCUUGCUGAUGGAACCCCUCCUCUUGCAGUUCCUUCAGCAAAUCCAUAGAAACUAGCAUUCACUACGUUGUUCCCGGCUGCUGUGGAUGCUGUAUGCGAUCCAUGACCCUCUUUAUCCCUGGCAGAAUCCGUGAUGUAAACUCGAGCUCCGAUAAGCUUACUGAAAGAUAAGCACCAAGUCAUUAUGAGGAUCAGGGAUAUGAAUAGCGGUCUGAGAUCGGAAAUAGUGGAAUAUUUUUACUUGUUACAAGUGAAGUUUUGGCCACCCUUACAAGCUCCCUUCCACUUUUGGGGUGGUGGACCGAAGCCUUCGUCGCUGAAGCUGUCCGAUUCCGGCCAGAUUCCGGUAUCAAAGACACCGACAAUGACAUCGCUCUCUGUGGCAUUACGUUUAACAGUUUGAUUGAGUCCCAAGAAAUCCCAUGAUCUUGUUGUAUGCAGGUGGUAAACUUUACUUGGAAAAACCGAAACCACUCCUUUAAAGCCUGCAUAUAACGGCAUUGGUGAAAACAUAUCAUUAAGGAAAUGCCAUAGAGCUAAAAAAAAAACAGACAGCUCUUCUUCUACCACUUACUUGAAAGUUUCUUUGCCUCUUCAUUAGUUAGCUUAGCUGCAAAUCCAUUGAAGCUCCUUUUGUAACUUCGGAUUAAGUGAUUUUCCAGAGAGCUGCAGAGAAGAAAAAAAAAGGAUCGAUCAUCAUACUGAUGGGCCCACACUUUGGCUUAGGCAUCAUAGGACAUCCUCUAAAAAAAUGGCUUCCUACCUGUGUUUAGAAAGUGCUGAAAGCAUAUUGCAAUGGUGAGAUGAAGCAAUGUAGUCUCCAUCAGGAAGUGAUCCCAAGUAUGCAAUGUAAACCUGCAUCAUCAUACAUUAUUACAAUUCAUGAACCAGUUCCAGAUAACAUUGUUAACAAUCUGUCACUGAAAAAUACUUGCCUUUCUAUCCUCCUGUACAGCACCAGAGCAAAGGCUUAUACAAACCAUGAGAUUCACAAAAAUGUCGAGAAACACCAAGAAACUUGAUUUUGUCAUUUUUUUUUUUCAAUUUGUUUGGUAGUAUGCAUAAAACAGAAAUCAUAACUUGUAUUUUAUAGUGAACUGGAAAAAUUGAAUCUUAUAUCCAAUUAACUGGAGUAUUUAAAUUUUUUGUCUUUGUAUAGCCACUACAACCAAGGAACGAAUCUGUCAAUUUUUACUCGUACCAUAUAUGAUUGUGAUAUAUGACCAUUUCAAGAUAUAUUGUUCAGUAUCUGAUAACACCAUUCUUUCUGCUGUAUUUAUUGUAUAUUUUUGCAGCUGAACUGAUUAUGUUCAUAAAUUUAAUGACUAAGGAAUCAAUUUAUAACUUCAUUAAAUUGGGUUUUAACCACAUUUUUCUUCUGAUUUACUCCACUGAAAAUCUCGGGUGUUGCAAAAAUCAUGUAUUGGGAAAGUUUGUUCACAGAAAGAUUUAUAUAAUAUUUAUUAAUAAGAUUGAAAGAAAUUGACUGAAAAUAUAUAUAACAUAAACUGAAAACAAAUAAUAACAAUUGCAGCAGGUUCAAUCAUGUGACUCAAACAGCCCCAGAGAUAGCUUCAUAUGUGUGAAUAACAACUGGAUUUCUAACAUCAUGAGUAUCAUCUGACCAUAUCAAUGUUGCAGACGCCAUUGAUCUUCCACCCAAAGCUUUUCCUGAAACAGUAACUUUGUAAGACAUCUUCUCUGUUAGACACUUGAAAGACAAGACUUGAGGAACCACUUUGAUUUCGAGUUCCGACAGGGCAGCGAUUGUUGCAUUGUAAGUAGAUCUUGCUACACCAACAUUUGUUACUGUUCUAUGGAAAGUGACUUUGAAUGGCUUGCCUGCUGGAACUAAAGCAGUGAGUGUAGGAUAAUUGAAAUCUCUUGGCAACAUUUUAGUAGAGUUCUUAGGACAAGAGGUGUUGUUUCCUGCUAU
rnacentral:lncRNA from 1 species